rnacentral:rRNA from 1 species
AUUGAACGCUGGCGGCAGGCUUAACACAUGCAAGUCGAGCGGGGGAAGGUAGCUUGCUACUGGACCUAGCGGCGGACGGGUGAGUAAUGCUUAGGAAUCUGCCUAUUAGUGGGGGACAACAUCUCGAAAGGGAUGCUAAUACCGCAUACGUCCUACGGGAGAAAGCAGGGGAUCUUCGGACCUUGCGCUAAUAGAUGAGCCUAAGUCGGAUUAGCUAGUUGGUGGGGUAAAGGCCUGCCAAGGCGACGAUCUGUAGCGGGUCUGAGAGGAUGAUCCGCCAAACUGGGACUGAGACACGGCCCAGACUCCUACGGGAGGCAGCAGUGGGGAAUAUUGGACAAUGGGGGGAACCCUGAUCCAGCCAUGCCGCGUGUGUGAAGAAGGCCUUAUGGUUGUAAAGCACUUUAAGCGAGGAGGAGGCUACUCUAGUUAAUACCUAGGGAUAGUGGACGUUACUCGCAGAAUAAGCACCGGCUAACUCUGUGCCAGCCGCCGCGGUAA